rnacentral:ncRNA from 1 species
GUGUCGUAUGAAAGGAGAGAAGGUUAGCACCCCUUUGACAAGGAUGGAAGAGGCUCUCGGGCCUAACACGCACACGGUUAAGGCAUUGCCACUCACUUCGUGGCACCUAACCACUGUUUUGU